UUUCUAGUUUUUGGUCGUAUCUUUUUUGUUGAUACGCUACCGAUAUGCCCCGAUACACCCCCAAUACACCUUGAUACGGGUCUAAUAUGCAUAAAAAAGAUGAAACAUCGGAUUUCCAUGCCUAUCCCGUAUCUACUUUUCAAAGAUACGAUACAAUACGCCUUGUAUCGGGCGUAUCGUACUGAAAUUUUAAACCUUGAUCCUAGGGCCUUUGACGUCUUCUUUCUCUCAGCAGGUUGGACCCGUCGACCUCAGAUACCUAAAAUUACAUUGUUGCCCUUUCUUAAGAAAACAAACCAGACUUAAUCAAAUAGUGAUUCCGAAAUGGGUGACAAGCAAGACCCUGCUCCUAACACUCAGAACUUAGUCACGAUCGACCAAUUUAGACUGGUCCUGGACAAACUAGACCACUUGGCCUAGCGUUUGGAUGAUAUAGGGUGCCCGACAGGAAGCCACCUACAAGGUGGCUGCCCCUUCGGAAGCCAUAGACAGCACAACGAGCGAUCUGCCUAUGCCUCGUCGAGGCAGUGCUUGGGCGGCCCGGAGGAGGCCGACUUCGUGGAAUCUGUUAGCAGCAAUCGAUGGGCUAGCAAGCCCCGUUCAAAGACCUCUUGGCUCCCCAGCUGAAGGGGCGACCCCAUAGGGUCCCACCUUGAGCGCAGGGACCGCGAUUGUCAUCACCAUCGCCGGUCAAUCAGCCGAGACGACGGUGGGCGCUUAGGCCACUACAGUCCCCCUCCAAGGGCUAGAAGUCUAUGCCACGCCUCUCCCCCACCGGUCUUUGACCACUGCAACCUCCUCAAUGACCACCGUGCCCGCAAAGCUUAAGAUGCGCCGACAUCCGAGCACUCCAGGAACAGGGCCGACCCGUCCCGCAUGAAGGAGAGCCAGGACUAGGCUGAUGGACUAAGGCCAUGUAUCGACCAACGCUUAGGAGAUAUUCAAGUGUAGAUUGGCGCCCGUCAGGAUCAACUUUAGUAGAUAAAGGAGGGUUGAGGUGAUGCCUCGGUCAACUGUCAUGCUUCGUCUACUCGGAUGGAGGCCUUCGUGGAUUCCAUCUUGAUGUUGCCUCCACAUUCCAUCGACUCUUGGGACCAGUUUGCAAAUCUCUUCCCAGCCCAUUUCUUGAGCAGUCGACAAUGUAAAAAAGUCGUCAUCUCCUUGAUGUCCAUCAAGCAAAAGCCCGAAGAAAUCCUUCGAGCAUACAUCAAAAGAUUCAAUCAGGAGGAACUAGAGGUCAGGGAUCUCGACCCUUCGGUCUCCAUGGUCGUGGCCAUCAGCGGACUCCGACCGGGGCCCCUCAGUUGGUCCAUCUCCAAGAAUCCGCCCAAGACUAAAGCCCAAUUUCUGAAGAAGGUCCAGAAGUACAUCGUCGCUGAGGAGGCCAAAGCCAACAAACGCCUCCAAAACCUAGAAGUUGGUCCCAACAACAAGAAGAGGAAGGAAAGGGAUACUCGCGACGACGUCCCCACCAGCAAGAGUAGUGGGAAGAAGCCGUCGACCCCUUCCUUCGACAAGUACACACCACUAAACUCCUCUCGAAUGCACAUACUGAUGCAAAUAGGGAAGGAGGAAUUUAUGAAGUGGCUAGCCAAAUUGAAGAGGAACCCCAAGAAGUACUGCAAGUACCACUGCAACACUGGCCACGAAACCGAGGAUUGCUAUGACCUCAAGAACGAGAUCGAGUCCCUCAUCUACUGUGGACACUUAAAGGAUUAUGUUGAAGGCGACACCCUAGCAUCAUCGUUGCAAUAGCUACAGGCCGGGCCCCAGGUCCAUCGCCCCCUAGCUGGAAUCAUUGAAGUUAUAGCCGGGGGCUCGGCCUUGGGGGGUGCAUCCGCCUUGUCUUGAAAGGCAUAAACUAGGCAGUAUAACAUUCAGAGACAGACGCUGAAGAGGUCGAGGCCGGAAGACCUCAUCUCAUUGUCAAAUGACGACCUACAAGGGGUUUCUGUGUCCCACGACGACACGUUGGUGGUGUCGAUGGUCAUUGCCAACUACAUGGUGAAAAGGAUCCUCAUAGACAACAACUCCUCGGCUAAUAUUCUGUUCUAUGAGACAUUUGAGGCGCAGUUGACACCAGACUGACUACAACUCGCUGAUGUGCCACUCGUCGAGUUUUCUGGAGUAGCUAUCAGACCUGAAGGAAGGGUAACCCUGCCUUUCAUCGUAGGGACCGAGCCUCUGCACGUCACUCAGAUAACUAAAUUCUUGGUCGUGAAGAUAGGCUCCCCUUAUAACACCAUCAUAGGGAGGUCGACCCUUCAUGCAGUCAAGGCGGUCAUCUUGUCUUACCACCUCGCCAUGAAGUUCCCCAUAGAUCAUGGUGUAGGAGUAGUUAGGGGAAACCAACAAGCUGCUAGGUAGUGCUACGUUGCCGCACUAAAAGGCAAGAACAAAGAAACCCUACCACUAGAGGGACUCGACCUCAGGGACAAACCAUCCAGUCGAGGCUAACUGGCCGAGGACCUCAUCGCAAUUCCCCUAGAUGAGGCCGACCUCGAGAAAACAGUAUGAGUCGGGUCUCGCCUCCCCCAGGACACAUUUUCCGAAUUGGUAAGCUUCCUUAAAGCCAAUACCGAUGUAUUUGCUUGGUCUGCCGUUGAUAUGCCAGGAAUUGACCCCUCGGUCAUUAUUCACAGGCUAAGUGUGGACCUGAGUUGUCAGCCGGUUCGGAAAAAGAAGAGGAACUUUGCAUUAGAACGUUGGAAAGCCAUCGGAGAGGAGGUGGACAAGCUACUCUACGCUAGCUUCAUAAGAGAGAUCUCAACAAGGCCUACCCCAAAGACAGCUUUCCUUUGCCAAGGAUUGAUCGUCUCGUCGAUGCCUCCACGGGGUACAAACUACUAAGCUUCAUGGACGCCUUCUCCAGCUACCACCAGAUAAAAAUGCACCUCGACGACGAAAAAAAGACCUCAUUCAUCACCGAGCACGGCAUUUACUACUACAAAGUGAUGCCUUUUGGACUGAAGAACGUCGGGGCCACUGUCUUCCACUUGCAGGCAAAUCUAAAAAGAAAGGGGGAUUCAAUGUUGCCAGGAUCUGUUGAUACUAAACCUGCUGCACCUAGGAAGGUCAGAUAUGCACCAAAAGGUCCUCCUCGUAGAGCACCCAUUUCCGUUGGACCUAAAAAUGUAACA